UAGAUUGUAUUAUUGUAUCUUGGUCAAA
rnacentral:piRNA from 1 species